GGAUCAGUGGCGAACGGGUGAGUAACACGUGAGCAAUCUGCCCCUGACUCUGGGAUAAGCGCUGGAAACGGCGUCUAAUACUGGAUACGAACCGUGGAGGCAUCUUCAACGGUUGGAAAGAUUUUUUGGUCAGGGAUGAGCUCGCGGCCUAUCAGCUUGUUGGUGAGGUAAUGGCUCACCAAGGCGUCGACGGGUAGCCGGCCUGAGAGGGUGACCGGCCACACUGGGACUGAGACACGGCCCAGACUCCUACGGGAGGCAGCAGUGGGGAAUAUUGCACAAUGGGCGAAAGCCUGAUGCAGCAACGCCGCGUGAGGGAUGACGGCCUUCGGGUUGUAAACCUCUUUUAGCAGGGAAGAAGCGAAAGUGACGGUACCUGCAGAAAAAGCGCCGGCUAACUACGUGCCAGCAGCCGCGGUAAUACGUAGGGCGCAAGCGUUAUCCGGAAUUAUUGGGCGUAAAGAGCUCGUAGGCGGUUUGUCGCGUCUGCUGUGAAAUCCCGAGGCUCAACUUCGGGUCUGCAGUGGGUACGGGCAGACUAGAGUGCGGUAGGGGAGAUUGGAAUUCCUGGUGUAGCGGUGGAAUGCGCAGAUAUCAGGAGGAACACCGAUGGCGAAGGCAGAUCUCUGGGCCGUAACUGACGCUGAGGAGCGAAAGGGUGGGGAGCAAACAGGCUUAGAUACCCUGGUAGUCCACCCCGUAAACGUUGGGAACUAGUUGUGGGGUCCAUUCCACGGAUUCCGUGACGCAGCUAACGCAUUAAGUUCCCCGCCUGGGGAGUACGGCCGCAAGGCUAAAACUCAAAGGAAUUGACGGGGACCCGCACAAGCGGCGGAGCAUGCGGAUUAAUUCGAUGCAACGCGAAGAACCUUACCAAGGCUUGACAUAUACGAGAACGCUGCAGAAAUGUAGAACUCUUUGGACACUCGUAAACAGGUGGUGCAUGGUUGUCGUCAGCUCGUGUCGUGAGAUGUUGGGUUAAGUCCCGCAACGAGCGCAACCC
rnacentral:rRNA from 1 species